rnacentral:rRNA from 1 species
GACCUACAGCUAAGGUCCCAAAGUGCGUGUUAAGUGGAAAAGGAUGUGGGAUUUCAAAGACAGCUAGGAUGUUGGCUCAGAAGCAGCCACUCAUUCAAAGAGUGCGUAAUAGCUCACUAGCCGAGAGGUCCUGCGCCGAAAAUGUCCGGGGCUGAAACACGACACCGAAGCAUGGGAAUCAUACACAAGUAUGGUUGGUAGAGGAGCAUUGAUGACGCGGCGAAGCGGUACCGGCAAGGAGCCGUGGAGUGUCAUGAAGAGAGAAUGCCGGAAUGAGUAGCGAGAUUAAAGUGAGAAUCUUUAAGGCCGAAUAUCCAAGGUUUCCGGGGUAAAGCUGAUCUGCCCCGGGUAAGUCGGGGCCUAAGGCGAGGCGGAGACGCGUAGCCGAUGGACAACAGGUUGAGAUUCCUGUACUGCAAUGGAUCAGAACUGUGGGGACACGGGAGGUAAAGGAAAGCCGGGAAAGGAAAGCCCGGUGAAAGCCGAGGAGGCGUAUGCGAGGCAAAACCCGCAUGCAAGCCAGAGCGGUGAGAGGAGCGAAACAAAAGUAGCGAAGUUCCGGAGCCUGCCGUCAAGAAAAGCCGCUAUAGUGUCCAUUGUACCCGUACCGUAAACCGACACAGGUAGAUGAGGAGAGAAUCCUAAGGCCGGCGGGAGAAGCAUUGUCAAGGAACUCGGCAAAAUGACCCCGUAACUUCGGGAGAAGGGGUGCCACAGCAAUGUGGCCGCAGAGAAUAGGCCCAAGCAACUGUUUAGCAAAAACACAGGUCUAUGCAAAACCGAAAGGUGAAGUAUAUGGGCUGACGCCUGCCCGGUGCUGGAAGGUUAAGGGGAGAUGUCAGGAAACGAAGCAUCGAACUUAAGCCCCAGUAAACGGCGGCCGUAACUAUAACGGUCCUAAGGUAGCGAAAUUCCUUGUCGGGUAAGUUCCGACCCGCACGAAAGGCGUAAUGAUUUGGGCGCUGUCUCGACAAUGCACCCGGUGAAAUUGAAGUGCCAGUGAAGAUGCUGGCUACCCGCGCCAGGACGGAAAGACCCCAUGGAGCUUUACUCUAGUUUGGCACUGGGAUCUGGCAUUGCACGUACAGGAUAGGUGGGAGGCUGAGAAAUGAUGACGCCAGUUGUCAUGGAGCCGGCGUUGGGAUACCACCCCUGCAUUGCUAGGUUUCUAACCAGCCGCCGUGAUCCGGCGGUGGGACAAUGCCAGGCGGGGAGUUUGACUGGGGCGGUCGCCUCCGAAAGGGUAUCGGAGGCGCUCAAAGGUUCCCUCAGAAUGGUUGGAAACCAUUCGAAGAGUGCAAAGGCAGAAGGGAGCUUGACUGCGACACCGACGGGUGGAGCA